UACGGAGGAUCCGAGCGUUAUCCGGAUUUAUUGGGUUUAAAGGGAGCGUAGGCGGAUUGUUAAGUCAGUUGUGAAAGUUUGCGGCUCAACCGUAAAAUUGCAGUUGAUACUGGCAGUCUUGAGUGCAGUAGAGGUGGGCGGAAUUCGUGGUGUAGCGGUGAAAUGCUUAGAUAUCACGAAGAACUCCGAUUGCGAAGGCAGCUCACUGGAGUGUAACUGACGCUGAUGCUCGAAAGUGUGGGUAUCAAACAGG
rnacentral:rRNA from 3 species